UACGGAGGGUGCAAACGUUGCUCGGAAUCAUUGGGCGUAAAGCGCACGUAGGCGGCUUAGCAAGUCGGGUGUGAAAGCCCUCGGCUCAACCGAGGAAGUGCAUUCGAAACUACUGAGCUUGAAUACUGGAGAGGAUCGCGGAAUUCCCGGUGUAGAGGUGAAAUUCGUAGAUAUCGGGAGGAACACCAGUGGCGAAGGCGGCGAUCUGGACAGAUAUUGACGCUGAGGUGCGAAAGCGUGGGGAGCAAACAGG
rnacentral:rRNA from 1 species